CUGUCUUUUCCUUUGUUUUCUGUCGAUGGCCAUGAGUUUAAUGACUGCUGUUUAUUCAGCUUGUUAUUGGUAUUACUGAGGAUGCCGACUCCCAAUUUGUGAAUGCGUGCGAGCAUACUUUUUCCGGUUUGGAUUCUCCCUUUCGUCCUGGGCGAUUAAAUACGCCGUUCCUGACGUUUUUUUCCUGUCGCGCCGUGAACUUUCGGUUACUCGGAAGUCUUAGUUGAUACGGAGAUCUAUUAUCUGCUACCCGCUACCUGCUUCCCGCUAUCUGCUACCCGCUACCUGCUAUCUACUACUGAUCCCUGUGAUUUGUGUUACUGGUUUCUGUUUUGUUUAAAGUGGUUCUGCUUGAGGGCAUCUAUUUGAUUAUGGAGUAGCCGGUGCCCUGUGUGGAUUUUGCUCCUCCAUUGUAAGCUGGGGAACAAUAGUC